rnacentral:rRNA from 1 species
UACGGGGGGGGCAAGCGUUGUUCGGAAUUACUGGGCGUAAAGGGCUCGUAGGGGGCCAACUAAGUCAUACGUGAAAUCCCUCGGCUUAACCGGGGAACUGCGUCUGAUACUGGAUGGCUUGAGGUUGGGAGAGGGAUGCGGAAUUCCAGGUGUAGCGGUGAAAUGCGUAGAUAUCUGGAGGAACACCGGUGGCGAAGGCGGCAUCCUGGACCAAUUCUGACACUGAGGAGCGAAAGCCAGGGGAGCAAACGGG